GAUGAAGAACGCAGCGAAAUGCGAUAAGUAAUGUGAAUUGCAGAAUUCAGUGAAUCAUCGAAUCUUUGAACGCACAUUGCGCCCCCUGGUAUUCCGGGGGGCAUGCCUGUCCGAGCGUCAUUACAACCCUCAAGCUCAGCUUGGUAUUGGGCCCCGCCGACCCGGCGGGCCCUAAAGUCAGUGGCGGUGCCGUCCGGCUCCGAGCGUAGUAAUUCUUCUCGCUCUGGAGGUCCGGUCGUGUGCUCGCCAGCAACCCACAAUUUUUUUCAGGUUGACCUCGGAUCAGGUAGGGAUACCCGCUGAACUUAAGCAUAUCAAUAAGCGGAGGA
rnacentral:misc_RNA from 1 species